UACGUAGGUGGCAAGCGUUGUCCGGAAUUAUUGGGCGUAAAGCGCGCGCAGGCGGUCCUUUAAGUCUGAUGUGAAAGCCCACGGCUCAACCGUGGAGGGUCAUUGGAAACUGGGGGACUUGAGUGCAGGAGAGAAGAGUGGAAUUCCUGGUGUAGCGGUGAAAUGCGCAGAUAUCAGGAAGAACACCAGUGGCGAAGGCGGCUCACUGGCCCGGUACUGACGCUGAGGUGCGAAAGCGUGGGGAGCAAACAGG
rnacentral:rRNA from 1 species